CGACGGAUCCGUAACUGGUCUGAGAGGAUGAUCAGUCACACUGGAACUGAGACACGGUCCAGACUCCUACGGGAGGCAGCAGUGGGGAAAUAUUGGACAAUGGGCGAAAGCCGUGAUCCAGCCAUGCCGCGUGUGUGAAGAAGGUCUUCGGAUUGUAAAGCACUUUAAGUUGGGAGGAAGGGCAGUAAAUUAAUACUUUGCUGGUUUUGAACGUUACCGACAGAAUAAGCACCGGCUAACUCUGUGCCAGCAGCCGCGGUAA
rnacentral:rRNA from 1 species